GCCGUUUUUGCUCAGUCGGUAGAUAGCAUGGCUUUUAACCAUGUGGUCGUGCGUUCGAUUCCCACAGACGGCG
rfam:Gossypium arboreum cultivar AKA8401 contig_29407_1, whole genome shotgun sequence.